rnacentral:rRNA from 1 species
GACGAACGCUGGCGGCGUGCCUAACACAUGCAAGUCGAGCGAAUGAAGUUCCUUCGGGCAUGGAUUUAGCGGCGGACGGGUGAGUAACACGUGGGCAACCUGCCUCAUAGAGGGGAAUAGCCUUCCGAAAGGGAGAUUAAUACCGCAUAAGAUUGUAGUAUCGCAUGAUACAGCAAUUAAAGGAGCAAUCCGCUAUGAGAUGGGCCCGCGUCGCAUUAGCUAGUUGGUGAGGUAACGGCUCACCAAGGCGACGAUGCGUAGCCGACCUGAGAGGGUGAUCGGCCACAUUGGGACUGAGACACGGCCCAGACUCCUACGGGAGGCAGCAGUGGGGAAUAUUGCACAAUGGGGGAAACCCUGAUGCAGCAACGCCGCGUGAGUGAUGACGGCCUGCGGGUUGUAAAGCUCUGUCUUCAGGGACGAUAAUGACGGUACCUGAGGAGGAAGCCACGGCUAACUACGUG